UCCUCCAUGCUGCAUCAUGGAUUCCCUCGU
rnacentral:piRNA from 1 species